rnacentral:lncRNA from 1 species
GGUAUAGGGAUGUGUGUGUAUAGUGGUGAUGGUGGUGUGUGGUGUGGGGGGGUGUGUGUGGUGGAGAGAGUGUGUGUAUGAGAGUGUGUAUGUAGUGAGUGAUGGUGGUGAAUGUGUGUAGUGGUGAUGGUGGUGUUUGUGUGGUGUGGGGUGUGUGUGUGUAGUGGUGAUGGUGGUGUUUGUGUGGUGUGGGGGGUGUGUGUGUGUGGUGAGUGGUGGUGAAUGUGUGUGUAGUGGUGAUGGUAUGUGUGGUGUGGGGGGUGUGUGUGGGGGGUGAGUGGUGGUGGUGUAUGUUUGGUGUGUGUGGUGUGUGUGUGUGGUGAGUGGUGGUGAAUGUGUGUGUGUAGUGGUGACGGUAUGUGUGGUGUGGGGUGAGUGGUGAUGGUGGUUGUGUGGUGUGUGUGUGUGUGUGUGGUGAGUGGUGGUGAAUGUGUGUGUGUAGUGGUGACGGUAUGUGUGGUGUGGGGUGAGUGGUGAUGGUUGUGUGGUGUGUGUGUGUGUGUGUGUGGUGAGGUGGUGGUAAAUGUGUGUGUAGUGGUGAUGGUAUGUUUGUGUGGUGUGGUGUGUGUGUGUGUGGAGUGGUGGUGAAUGUGUGUGUGUAGUGGUGAUGGUAUGUGUGGUGUGGGGGUGUGUGUGUGUGUGGUGAGUGGUGGUGUGGUGGUGGUGAAUAUGUGUGUGUAGUGGUGAUGGUGGUAUGUUUGUGUGGUGUGUGUGUGGUGUGGGGUGUGUGUGUGUGGUGAGUGGUGGGGUGGUGGUGAAUGUGUGUAGUGGUGAUGGUGGUGUUUGUGUGGUGUGGGGGGUGUUUGUGUGGUGUGGGGUGUGUGUGUGUAGUGGUGAUGGUGGUGUUUGUGUGGUGUGGGGGGUGUUUGUGUGGUGUGGGGUGUGUGUGCGUGGUGAGUGGUGGUGGUGAAUGUGUGUAUAGUGGUGAUGGUGUUUGUGUGGUGCGGGGUGUGUGUGUGUAGUGGUGAUGGUGGUGUUUGUGUGGUGUGGGGGGUGUGUGUGUGUGUGUGGUGUGGGGUGUGUGUGUGUGGUGAGUGGUGGUGGUGAAUGUGUGUGUGGUAGUGAUGGGGCAGGCUGAGGGCUGAGCCAGAGAAGGCAUGGAGAUGAGACAACUCCAGAGGGUAUGUAAGGGGAGGUGAGUGGUGGGAGGUGAGCUAGGAAGGCAUUUUUAAUGUUGACCCAUACUCUCUAAUCAAGACAAUGACAGUUUUGCAGCUGUUCCUCUUCCUAAGCUCAUGUGAGGAUUUUGGGUUAGAAUCACUGUGUUCUUCUCCGCAGGCCGAAGCUCCCUAGCGCUGGGGCCUCCACUCUGGGAAGGGCCCUGUGGGUGAAUCUCUGAGCGUUUACUGGGCUCCUUCUCUACCUGGGCUGCCGCACCCAGAACAGUUCUUAGAGUUUCCAGCCUCCUGAGCUCGCGGAAUAGCAAAGAAGAAUCAGAAAUGUUUCAAAUACAGCUAAGACCGUCUUUGGUUCCACCCAACACUUUCUCCUCAUGAGUGAUGGUAAUGUCCUGAUGAAUUUCUGCUUGGAAACAACUGGACUCAGUCAGUUGAGAAAUGACAGAGCUCAUAUGCACAACACCUUGAAGCCUUCCUUCAGCAAUGCGGACGAUACACACAACCUUCAACACUUCAGAGAGAAUCCUCCGUGAUGAUGUAUGCUCAAGUAUUUUGGUGUGAGAUGUCAUGAUACCUAUAACUUACUUAUUAAAAAUUCAGGCCAGGCACAGUGGCUCAUGCC